rnacentral:rRNA from 1 species
UACGGAGGGUGCAAGCGUUAUCCGGAUUCACUGGGUUUAAAGGGUGCGUAGGUGGGUUUGUAAGUCAGUGGUGAAAUCUCCGUGCUUAACAUGGAAACUGCCAUUGAUACUAUAGAUCUUGAAUUUUCUGGAGGAUAGCGGAAUAUGUCAUGUAGCGGUGAAAUGCUUAGAUAUGACAUAGAACACCAAUUGCGAAGGCAGCUCGCUACACGAAUAUUGACUCUGAGGCACGAAAGCGUGGGGAUCAAACAGG